CCUGAGUCUAGUGUGCUACUUGUGCUCAGGUUUACAACACGAAGUCAAGCAUGCUGCCCCGACCACCAAACGACGCACGAGCAACUCCAGAAUUCGUCCUCAACCUUGUUGCACCAUGUCACAUGAUUAUGGACGUGUCAAACACAUUUGGAGGAUGAAGAUGGACAGCAUAUGAAGUCAUUUGAAGCCUUGAGUCUGUUGGAGCUGCUAGCCGCUGCUGCUCCUCUUCUACUCUCUGCCGCGUGGCUGCCGCGGCAGAACUCCCUCCUGCCGCCAGUCAUAUUCCUGCCGUGAGGCUGCCGCGGCAGAAAUUAUUUCUGCCCCGGCAGGACUUCUUCUACCUCCAGCCAACCCCCUCUCUCUCUCUCUCAGCAACACAUGAACAGAAAAGGAAAGCAAGAUUUUGGGCCUCGAGCUGCCUCUCACAGCCGAACUUUUCUCUCCUUCUAUUCCUAUUUCUUGUUACUAAAAACCAACGGGAUUACAUGCCUUAUAUAAUAGCCAAUCUCAGGCCAUUAGCUCCUAAACUCACACCAUAAUUCAAUUAACAUGCUAACCGAGUCUUCAACCCCUGGAUUCUCCAACAAUCUAACAAUUCCACCGCAUGGCAUCUCCUUGACUGAAUCUAUCGGGCCUGCAUGCCAUGGCUCCAACCCACGCAUGGCGCCGCAUCUCACAGCCAUCCUAGGCAUCUCGCCUCACAUGCGUUCGAUCAAAGCUCCAAUGGCCUACAACUCCUAUGAGCUAAACUACAAAAGAUAUGAGAAUUCCAAUGCAAGUUGUUUAGGACAUUAAAUGCUGCACGAGACUCCAUGUGGCUGCCCCCUCUCCAAGCUGCUGGUUACCACUCUUUUAAGCCCACAUUUUGGACUGGUUUCACACCUAAGCUAGGAGGGCAGUUCCUAGUAUAAAUAACCCUUACCCCACUUCAGCCACAACUCUUUGGCAAUUUGAUUUCAGAAUAGGUUAGUUAUGAGCAACCUGAAUCUUGUUUGAGAGUUCUCUACCCCUUUGCUCCUGUAAAACUUGCCUUGUGAGAUUGCAGAAGCGGUCGUUCGACAGCAGCCUCUCCAUGCUUCCAACUUCGUGCAUGGUUGUGUGGAUUGGAAACUUAGACUGUGGUUGGGCGAAUACUUGUUGCAGGUCAUUGCAUAGGCGGUGGUUGGCCUGAUCAAGAUCGUCAGGUUGCACUAUUAUCUUGGUUGUUCGCAGUUAGGAACCCUAGAGUGUCGUUGGUUGGAGUCAUUGUUCAUCACCGUAUCCCUCAGGUGGCGCUAGUUAUCGUGCUCGUGGAGAUCCUACGUCGUGAAGAUCGGGCACCCCCGCAUCAAGAUCCAGGUCCGGUUUUGGCUUAUUUGGCUCGAGCCAUAUAUAGCUACUAAAGACAACAUGAUGCGUGGGAACUAGGAGGGAGAUACGACAUGUAGAUUUUGCCCCAAAUUAGUGACGCUCCAUCAUUUGUUCUUUCAUCUUGUUGCUCUAGGUUCAAGGUGUGCAUAAGAGAACGGGAACAGAAAACAAAGCAAA
rnacentral:lncRNA from 1 species